rfam:Drosophila sechellia strain Rob3c scaffold_3 genomic scaffold, whole genome shotgun sequence.
GUGGGAUAUGGCGAUGUGGCGCCCAAAACCUAUCCGGGCAUGUUCGUGGGCGCCCUCUGUGCUCUGGCCGGUGUGCUGACCAUCGCCCUGCCCGUGCCCGUCAUCGUUAGCAAC